rnacentral:rRNA from 1 species
UACGUAGGGUGCAAGCGUUGUCCGGAAUUAUUGGGCGUAAAGAGCUCGUAGGCGGUUUGUCGCGUCUGCUGUGAAAACCCGAGGCUCAACCUCGGGCCUGCAGUGGGUACGGGCAGACUAGAGUGCGGUAGGGGAGAUUGGAAUUCCUGGUGUAGCGGUGGAAUGCGCCGAUAUCAGGAGGAACACCAAUGGCGAAGGCAGAUCUCUGGGCCGUAACUGACGCUGAGGAGCGAAAGCAUGGGGAGCGAACAGG